CCUACGGGAGGCAGCAGUAGGGAAUUUUGCGCAAUGGGGGAAACCCUGACGCAGCAACGCCGCGUGAUCGAUGAAGCCCUUCGGGGUGUAAAGAUCUGUCAGUGGGGACGAAACCUGACGGUACCUGACCAAGAAGCACCGGCUAACUACGUGCCAGCAGCCGCGGUAAUACGUAGGGGGCAAGCGUUAUCCGGAUUUACUGGGUGUAAAGGGAGCGUAGACGGCAAGGCAAGUCUGGAGUGAAAGCCCGUGGCCCAACCACGGGACUGCUUUGGAAACUGUGUUGCUGGAGUGCAGGAGGGGUAAGCGGAAUUCCUAGUGUAGCGGUGAAAUGCGUAGAUAUUAGGAGGAACACCGGUGGCGAAGGCGGCUUACUGGACUGUAACUGACGUUGAGGCUCGAAGGCGUGGGGAGCAAACAGGAUUAGAUACCCUUGUAGUC
rnacentral:rRNA from 1 species